rnacentral:rRNA from 1 species
UACGUAGGGACCAAGCGUUGUUCGGAUUUACUGGGCGUAAAGGGCGCGUAGGUGGUGGCUUAAGCGUGCGGUGAAAGCUCGGGGCUCAACUCCGAGUCGGCCGUGCGAACUGGGCUCACUGGAGCAUAGUAGAGGCAGGUGGAAUUCCGGGUGUAGCGGUGGAAUGCGCAGAUAUCAGGAGGAACACCGGUGGCGAAGGCGGGUCUCUGGGCAGUAACUGACGCUGAGGAGCGAAAGCGUGGGGAGCGAACAGG